rnacentral:rRNA from 1 species
GCUUGCUGGGGGGAUUAGUGGCGAACGGGUGAGUAACACGUGAGUAACCUGCCCUUGACUCUGGGAUAAGCCUGGGAAACUGGGUCUAAUACCGGAUAUGACUCCUCAUCGCAUGGUGGGGGGUGGAAAGCUUUUGUGGUUUUGGAUGGACUCGCGGCCUAUCAGCUUGUUGGUGGGGUAAUGGCCUACCAAGGCGACGACGGGUAGCCGGCCUGAGAGGGUGACCGGCCACACUGGGACUGAGACACGGCCCAGACUCCUACGGGAGGCAGCAGUGGGGAAUAUUGCACAAUGGGCGGAAGCCUGAUGCAGCGACGCCGCGUGAGGGAUGACGGCCUUCGGGUUGUAAACCUCUUUCAGUAGGGAAGAAGCCGCGAGGUGACGGUACCUGCAGAAGAAGCGCCGGCUAACUACGUGCCAGCAGCCGCGGUAAUACGUAGGGCGCAAGCGUUAUCCGGAAUUAUUGGGCGUAAAGAGCUCGUAGGCGGUUUGUCGCGUCUGCUGUGAAAGACCGGGGCUCAACUCCGUUCUGCAGUGGGUACGGGCAGACUACAGUGCAGUAGGGGA